rnacentral:misc_RNA from 1 species
AACGCAUAUUGCGCCCAUUAGUAUUCUAGUGGGCAUGCCUGUUCGAGCGUCAUUUCAACCCUCAAGCCCUAGUUGCUUGGUAUUGGGGCAUCUACGGAGUAUUGUAGGCCCUAAAAAUCAGUGGCGGGCUCGCUGUGGACCCGAGCGUAGUAAAUUUUUCUCGCUUAGGGGUGCAUAGGGGGCAUCUUGCCGUGAAACCCACUAAAUUUUAGAAGGUUGACCUCGGAUCAGGUAGGAAUACCCGCUGAACUUAA